UUUUACAGUUCUUUGCAACCUUAUUAUGCAAAGAGUUUAAUAUCCAGUUUUUUAAUAAUUUUUGUUGUGAAAUACGGAUCUUAACUGGCUGCUCAGAAGAAAUAUUGUUAUACUUAUACCAUUCUUUUAAUAAAGAAAUGUCAUAACUUCUUCUUCUUGGGUUUGAUCUAACAUUAAAUGGAAAUGGAGACCAAAAUAAUAAAAUUCCAUUUGUUGUGGAACUUGUCUCAAGGCUAUAUUCGUGGAAAAAAGGGCUAAAGUGAAUUUUAAUAUUAUGUAUUUCCUCGUCAACGAUUUGGUAAAUAUUUUCCAACAAGGAGUUAUUUGGAGAAAUUGGAUGGUAAUAUUCAUUGAACUCGAAUAUUGGAGAAUUCGGGUUUUCCGGCUUUGUAAAUAUAUUAACUAUGUAAUGAUAGACUGAUGUAGAAACAAAUUUAGGUAAUGAGUUAUAAAAAUGCGGAAAGGCUAUUUUAUAUUCAGAUCUUGUAAUCGACCUGAAAAUUACUCGGUUAAGAUCGUUAAAUUCAUUCCAAUCUUCAUCCUCAUCAAAUGAAGUACUAUUUAGUGGCUCAAAUUUAGGCCCUCCUGGAAUUGCAAUGUUUAGUGCUUUCGCAGUAAAAAAUGCAUCUUUAUUAAAUAAAUAAUAAGAGUUAUUUUCUAAUAAGAUUGGCAAUAUUUGCAUGGAUAAUCUAUAAAGAGUCCCAAGUUGUUCAAAUGUUAAAUGCCACUGAUGUUUUUUAUAAUUCCCCUUUUUAUGAAAAUACUUAAAUUGUUGUUUUGAAUCUAAAUAAAACCAAUCAUAAACAGAAAUAUCUUCUUCACCAUCCAAAACUAUCUGUAUAGAAUCAAGUGGUUCAACACCUAAGAUAUUUUCGCAAUAAUCUAUCGGGGGCUCUUCAUCAUCGAAGGGUGGAAAACGAAUCCUUUUAAAAUGUUUCCUAUCACGCUUUUCCCUUCUCAUCAUCGUCCACAUUGUAGACCACUGAGCAAUAUAGAUAGGUUCAAUAACCCAUGGUAUUUCAUUUACAAAAGUUAUUGCGCCUGUAGUAUGAUACAAACAAUCUACAUACUUUACUCUUUCCCAAGGCAUUGGUAUGUUUUCUAACAACUUAAAAAUUGAAUGAGGGAUAUAUUUUAGCGCACCUAAAUAGACUCUCUUCUCAUUCUGAAACUUUCUCGAUGACAUAUCGCCAUGAAUAUUAAUUAGUUUCCUUAAAUGUUCAGGUGGUAAUUUAGAUUUUCUCACAAUCUGAUUUCCAUUAACUUUUGAGCGUCUGCAAUAUCGGGCUUCAUUUAGCUUCGACCAAUUUAAGUGCUUUAUUCCCAA
rnacentral:antisense_RNA from 1 species